AUCACCAAGGUAACUUCAGGGUCCCGCCCGGCGGUUCACCCAAGCAAGCGCAGUUUGGUUCCGCCCUGUUCCUUCCAUCAUUGGGUAGCCUUUGCUGCGCUGUGUCACCCACGCCCACUUUCCCGUUGCUGAAUCUUCCUCCUCCCGCGUCCCCCCACCCCAACUAAUGCCCUGAGUUCUCUCGGAAGAUUUGGAGAAUGGGGAAGACGUGGCAACGUGUCCUAGCUGCUCUCUCAUUGUAAAAGUGAUUUAUGACAAAGAUCAGUUUGUGUGUGGAGAAACAGUCCCGGCCCCUUCAGCCAACAAGGAAUUAGUUAAAUGCUGAAGAAGCCUUCAGGAAUCCAAAUCCUGAACAGUUGGAAAUGAGCCCAGAUAGAAAUAUCGAAUGCAAAGCUACUGGCUUCACAGAGACAACCAUUUAUGAUUUGCUGUUCUGUGAGAGUGUGGAUUCUUUCUAUCAACUGCUGAUAUCAUCUUCAGGAAGCAAGUCCAUAACAUGACAUAUCUGGAUUUUGUGCUUAGAACCUUAAAUUGGAAGCAUUCUUAAUUAUGCAUCUAAAUUUAAAAGAAGAUAAUUUCAAAACAGUGCUUUCUUUCCCUUGGUUUCAUCAUUUUCAUAUCUUAAACCAAAUUACUUCAGUAUCUGACAACAGCAUCAUCUACCUCAGUCAUUAGGAUUUCUUAAUAAAAAAGAGAUUGUAUUUUUGACUUGGUUAUUAAGAUGAUUAAAAUUAGCCCUUCCUUUGAAAUAUGACAUCAGCUUUGCUGUUCUAAAUUUAAAAUUAGUUGCUUCAUCAGUACCACACUUCCAGUUUCUGUACCAAGCCAGUCUCCUCAGUUUUCCCAUUAGAAUGGACAUGUUCUGUUCAGCGUGUCAUUUCUGUAAUGCUUCAUGCAGAGAGUUUGGUCAUAGUAUUAAAGAGAAAAUACAGUGAGGUCACAAUGUCUCCAGAGCUAAAAGUUAGUGAACAAGAAAGAAAGUCCAAAAUGAAGUGAUGAAAGAAUGAGAACUUUUCUUAUAUUCUGCAUAUUCCUUGGAAGUCCGGACAAGAUGAAAAGAAAAACAUCCAAAAGAAGUGAAACUGGUGACAGAAUGAGAGGAGCAAAGCAUACCAGUGUAGUAAAUGGAACGUUUGAAUGACUUUGCCAGGUCAGAGCAAGUAAUAUUUCUGUAUCUGAG
rnacentral:sRNA from 1 species